GUCGUGCUGGCACUUUUACUGGCAGGGUCUUAGAGCUGAGCCUGUAGCCGGGCGCCAUCUUUGACUCUGGCAGUCUUGGAUUUCUGCUGGUGUUGCUGCUGAGAAGACGGCGGGCGGCAGCGGCUAAGAAAGAAGAAAGACGUGGCAGCAAGCGGGAGUCGGGGAUAGUGUCGACGGUUCGGUAAAGUUUCUGUUCUCUGAUUUGGGGAUAUUCCCUGCCCAAAAAUUUCCUGGAAAAUUGACUAGUAUUAAGUGCGUAAUAAAUUGGAACUCAGUGAAGACACAGACAUUCCUGUUGAGAUCAACCAGCUAAUGUAAGUGUGGAAAUGGGUUUGUUUUUUUUUUUUAAUCAUUAAAGGGGUAAACAUUUUUGUAAUUUAUGGCAUAAUUUU
rnacentral:lncRNA from 1 species